AGAGUUUGAUCCUGGCUCAGGAUGAACGCUAGCUACAGGCUUAACACAUGCAAGUCGAGGGGCAGCAUGGUCUUAGCUUGCUAAGGCCGAUGGCGACCGGCGCACGGGUGAGUAACACGUAUCCAACCUGCCGUCUACUCUUGGACAGCCUUCUGAAAGGAAGAUUAAUACAAGAUGGCAUCAUGAGUUCACAUGUUCACAUGAUUAAAGGUAUUCCGGUAGACGAUGGGGAUGCGUUCCAUUAGAUAGUAGGCGGGGUAACGGCCCACCUAGUCUUCGAUGGAUAGGGGUUCUGAGAGGAAGGUCCCCCACAUUGGAACUGAGACACGGUCCAAACUCCUACGGGAGGCAGCAGUGAGGAAUAUUGGUCAAUGGGCGAGAGCCUGAACCAGCCAAGUAGCGUGAAGGAUGACUGCCCUAUGGGUUGUAAACUUCUUUUAUAAAGGAAUAAAGUCGGGUAUGUAUACCCGUUUGCAUGUACUUUAUGAAUAAGGAUCGGCUAACUCCGUGCCAGCAGCCGCGGUAAUACGGAGGAUCCGAGCGUUAUCCGGAUUUAUUGGGUUUAAAGGGAGCGUAGAUGGAUGUUUAAGUCAGUUGUGAAAGUUUGCGGCUCAACCGUAAAAUUGCAGUUGAUACUGGCUGUCUUGAGUACAGUAGAGGCAGGCGGAAUUCGUGGUGUAGCGGUGAAAUGCUUAGAUAUCACGAAGAACUCCGAUUGCGAAGGCAGCCUGCUAAGCUGCAACUGACAUUGAGGCUCGAAAGUGUGGGUAUCAAACAGGAUUAGAUACCCUGGUAGUCCACACGGUAAACGAUGAAUACUCGCUGUUUGCGAUAUACUGCAAGCGGCCAAGCGAAAGCGUUAAGUAUUCCACCUGGGGAGUACGCCGGCAACGGUGAAACUCAAAGGAAUUGACGGGGGCCCGCACAAGCGGAGGAACAUGUGGUUUAA
rnacentral:rRNA from 1 species